rnacentral:rRNA from 1 species
AGAGUUUGAUCCUGGCUCAGAACGAACGCUGGCGGCAUGCCUAACACAUGCAAGUCGAACGCUCACCCGGCUUCGGUCGGGUGGGAGUGGCGCACGGGUGAGUAACGCGUGGGAACCUGCCCUGUUGUGGGGGAUAACCGAGGGAAACUUCGGCUAAUACCGCAUGCGCCCUGGGAGUGAUCCUGGGGGAAAGAUUUAUCGCAGCAGGAGGGGCCCGCGUCGGAUUAGCUGGUUGGUGGGGUAACGGCCCACCAAGGCGAUGAUCCGUAGCUGGUCUGAGAGGAUGAUCAGCCACACUGGGACUGAGACACGGCCCAGACUCCUACGGGAGGCAGCAGUGGGGAAUAUUGGACAAUGGGCGCAAGCCUGAUCCAGCAAUGCCGCGUGAGUGAUGAAGGCCUUCGGGUUGUAAAGCUCUUUCGGCGGGGACGAUGAUGACGGUACCCGCAGAAGAAGCCCCGGCUAACUUCGUGCCAGCAGCCGCGGUAAUACGAAGGGGGCGAGCGUUGUUCGGAAUCACUGGGCGUAAAGGGCGCGUAGGCGGCCCUGUUAGUCGCGUGUGAAAGCCCCGGGCUCAACCUGGGAACGGCGCGCGAAACGGCGGGGCUGGAGUUCGGGAGAGGAGCGUGGAAUUCCCAGUGUAGAGGUGAAAUUCGUAGAUAUUGGGAAGAACACCGGUGGCGAAGGCGGCGCUCUGGACCGAGACUGACGCUGAGGCGCGAAAGCGUGGGGAGCAAACAGGAUUAGAUACCCCCGUAGUCC